rnacentral:lncRNA from 1 species
GCCCCCCAAAAUACAGUGUGGAAGAAAAGGAUAGGAGUAAGAAAUUCCACACACACAAAAAGCUCAGGAGAAAGAAUAACGGUGUAGAAAAUAUGGACAUCCAUGUACAGGAGGCUUUUAGAACCCCACAUAGACAUGACAAGAUCUUCACGAUGGCAUAUUUCUAAUCCAACUGUCUUAAGAAAGUUCAUAAAAUCUGCAAGAGAAGAACCGCGUCCUGAAACAAUAACUGCCAACCAAGAAUAUCAUCCAGAAAAUAUUAAGGAAAUUCAUGACUACCAAACCAGCCUUAGAAAGUAUGCUCAAGGAUUCCUACAUCCAGAAGAAACAUAUGUACCAUUUAUGCUUUCAUGGUGGUAGUUAAGAAAAACCCUUAAUUGUCAAUAAUUACCUGGAAUGUAAAUUGACUAAAUUUAAUUCAAAGAUUGCUUGGAUGACCAAGUAAGACCCAGUGAUCUGUCACCUGCAAGAAACUCAUUUCAUCAGUAAAGACACAGAAAGGAAAAAACAUUCCAAUAAAAUGGAAGCCAAAGUGAGCAGGAGGAGCUCACAACUGGCAGACAAGAUGACAGUGAUUAUAAAACAAGGGAGAGAGGUUCACAACAAUAAAAAUGGGGGACGUCCAACACCACUUUGAGUAAUGGAUAGAUCCUCCAGAUAAGAAAUCAACAUAAUUAUACUACAGGUCAAAAAUAUUUACAGAGAAUUCCAUCUAAUAGAUGCAACAUCCAAAUUAUUUUCAAUGCAUGGAAUUGUCUUUAGAAUAUGUUAGGCCACAAGGAAAAAACAUG